UGGGCUUGACAUACACCAGACCGGGCCAGAGAUGGUCUUUCCCUUUGUGGUUGGUGUACAGGUGGUGCAUGGUUGUCGUCAGCUCGUGUCGUGAGAUGUUGGGUUAAGUCCCGCAACGAGCGCAACCCUUGUCUUAUGUUGCCAGCACGUGAUGGUGGGGACUCAUGAGAGACUGCCGGGGUUAACUCGGAGGAAGGUGGGGAUGACGUCAAAUCAUCAUGCCCCUUAUGUCCAGGG
rnacentral:rRNA from 1 species